rnacentral:rRNA from 1 species
AUUGAACGCUGGCGGCAGGCCUAACACAUGCAAGUCGAACGAGUGGCGGACGGGUGAGUAAUGUCUGGGAACCUGCCUGAUGGAGGGGGAUAACUACUGGAAACGGUAGCUAAUACCGCAUACCAUCAGAUGUGCCCCGAUGGGAUUAGCUAGUUGGUGGGGUAACGGCUCACCAGGGGUACGAUCCCUAGCUGGUCUGAGAGGAUGACCAGCCAAAAUGGAACUGAGAAACGGUCCAGACUCCUACGGAAGGCACCAGUGGGGAAUAUUGAACAAUGGGUGCAAGCCUGAUGCAGCCAUGAGGCGUGUAUGAAGAAGGCCUUCGGGUUGUAAAGUACUUUCAGCGGGGAGGCGUUACCCGCAGAAGAAGCACCGGCUAACUCCGUGCCAGCAGCCGCGGUAAUAC